UGGGGAAUUUUGGACAAUGGGGGAAACCCUGAUCCAGCCAUCCCGCGUGUGCGAUGAAGGCCUUCGGGUUGUAAAGCACUUUUGGCAGGAAAGAAACGUCAUGGGUUAAUACCCCGUGAAACUGACGGUACCUGCAGAAUAAGCACCGGCUAACUACGUGCCAGCAGCCGCGGUAAUACGUAGGGUGCAAGCGUUAAUCGGAAUUACUGGGCGUAAAGCGUGCGCAGGCGGUUCGGAAAGAAAGAUGUGAAAUCCCAGAGCUCAACUUUGGAACUGCAUUUUUAACUACCGGGCUAGAGUGUGUCAGAGGGAGGUGGAAUUCCGCGUGUAGCAGUGAAAUGCGUAGAUAUGCGGAGGAACACCGAUGGCGAAGGCAGCCUCCUGGGAUUACACUGACGCUCAUGCACGAAAGCGUGGGGAGCAAACAGG
rnacentral:rRNA from 1 species